GCUCAGUUGGUUGAGUGUCCAACUUUGGCUCAAGUCAUGAUCUCCUGGUUUGUGGGUUCAAGUCCCACAUUGGGCU
rnacentral:tRNA from 1 species